rnacentral:rRNA from 1 species
GGACUACCCGGGUAUCUAAUCCCGUUCGCUCCCCCAGCUUUCGCGUCUCAGCGUCAGAAGCAGGCCAGGAAGCCGCCUUCGCCACUGGCAUUCCUCCCGAUAUCUACGCAUUUCACCGCUACACCGGGAAUUCUACUUCCCUCUCCUGCCCUCGAGCCCGGCGGUCUCCCGCGACCUCCUACAGUUGAGCCGUAGGCUUUCACACGGGACUUACCAGGCCGCCUGCACGCGCUUUACGCCCAGUGAUUCCGGACAACGCUCGCCCCCUACGUCUUACCGCGGCUGCUGGCAC